rnacentral:sRNA from 1 species
GCCAGGGGCGGUGGCCCACUCCUGUCAUCCCAGGGGCUCAGGAGGCUGAGGCAGGAGGAUCACGAGUUCAAAGCCAGCCUCAGCAACCUAACGAGGCCCUGAGCAACUCAGCGAGACCCUGUCUCUA